GGUAUGCUGAGAGCCACCAGAAGCUGAGAGAGGCACGGUGAACUUUGCUGACGCAUUCAUGAAAGCACUCUGAAAUGAAUCAACAGGAUUUGCCCAGACACAUUUUCUGUUACCCGAGGUCAACCGUGGUCCAGAAGGAAACGAUCCUUCUCACAUAUUGUCAGCAGCAGCCUACUGCUACAUCACGGCAUCUGUGGCCCUCAGCUCCCUUCUCUCGUCACGUAGGCACGUUACCAACCUACAUCACCACAGAAGGAGAGUGAGUGCAGUACGGCAGGAUAAUGACCCGCAAAGAUGUCCAUCCCUAAUCCUUGGAACCUGUGCCUUGGUGAACUUACAUGGAAAAAGGGACGUUACAGAUGUGAUUACAGCUGCAUAAUAAUCCAUCAUAUCACUGAACCAUCAUUACACGAAUGGAAGGCUAGUGAAGUCUUUUAUCCUGCUAUUUCAAAUAGGACUGCAGUGGCAUAUCCUCGUAUAAGUG